rnacentral:snoRNA from 1 species
AUGUUAAGCAAGAUGAUUGGUUUCAUGUGUGAGAUGUGCCUCCUUCAAACUCUGUUACCAUGUCUGCACAUUACCUGUCUGACA